rnacentral:rRNA from 1 species
GACGAACGCUGGCGGCGUGCUUAACACAUGCAAGUCGAACGGAAAGGCCCUGCUUUUGUGGGGUGCUCGAGUGGCGAACGGGUGAGUAACACGUGAGUAACCUGCCCUUGACUUUGGGAUAACUUCAGGAAACUGGGGCUAAUACAGGAUAGGAGCUCCUGCUGCAUGGUGGGGGUUGGAAAGUUUCGGCGGUUGGGGAUGGACUCGCGGCUUAUCAGCUUGUUGGUGGGGUAGUGGCUUACCAAGGCUUUGACGGGUAGCCGGCCUGAGAGGGUGACCGGCCACAUUGGGACUGAGAUACGGCCCAGACGCCUACGGGAGGCAGCAGUGGGGAAUAGUGCAAAAUGGGCGGAAGCCGGAUGCAGCAACGCCGCGUGCGGGAUGACGGCCUUCGGGUUGUAAACCUCUUGCGCCUGUGACGAAGCGUGAGUGACGGUAAUGGGUAAAGAAGCACCGGCUAACUACGUG